AUUCCAUUAUAAUUUACACUAAAAAAUAAAAUAAAAUAAAGCCAUUGUCUGUAGUUGCAGUGUAGGUAGGUUUUGUGCGAACUCACCUCCACAACAACUGUGCGGCGGCGGCGGCGUCGUCAGAUAGGGAUGGUACGACGAUACAUUGACAUAUAUACAUGUACAGGAGCAGAAGAACUAAAGCAGUGGGAAAGUGUGAAAAAAAAUUAAUACACCAAACGUAUGUUAGGUAUCACGCGCGCGUACGACGCUAUGUGACGGGUAUAUAUAUACAGGUAGGCAUUGUGGAAGUGUGGUAUAGUGAUGUUUGCAGGGAAUACGACGACGUGACCUGAACAGAAAUCAGAAAAUUAUGUUUGGAUUACUUACACAAUUUUGUGACUUCCCCGAGAACCGAAGGUUAAGUUAAAAUCAACGCUGCAUAAUGUAUAAUAUAGAGGUAUAUACCGUAUACCAUGCCAGAACUAAUGGGUGUAUCGUGUAUGCGCAUCGGAGAGCUGAACAGUUGACAGGCGAAUUAUAUCCUCAUUUGCGGUCGAUAUUUAUUUUUUUUGUUUUGCUCGGACUUUAAAAAGAUUCUUAUUGGGUAAUUAUCAAAAUAGUUAUCACGCCGAUAAUAGUACUUCCUAAUACUUAAUUAUUUCACUGCAUAGUUAUUAGUUGGCACAUUUUCUAUUACAUGAGACUAUUAUUGUGGCAAGGACAUAAUUUAUUUUAAAAGUAAAAACAAAUAAUUGUAAAAUAACUAAACUAUAAUAUUAUUAUCUUCGGGCAUUUAAAAACAUACCAUGAUGUGAAUAACCCCAAUGUAAUAUAUUAUUAUAUAAUGCCAUAUAAAUUACACA